rnacentral:misc_RNA from 1 species
UAUCUUUUUCAACCUUCUUUUUCUUUGAAAUGAAGGCUUGGAUUCUGGAAGUUUGUGCUGGCUGGCUUUGAGCCGAGUUUAGCUCUUCUGAAAUAUAUUAGCAAGGUCAUUAUGAUCAUUUUUGAUAUGAUAAUUAUCUAUAUCAUUAAUGAAACGGUUUAUAUCUUGCUUCUAAUCAUACUAUUAUU